GUGCUUACGUUGGCAGCACAUAUACUAAAAUGGGAACAGUACAAAGAAGAUUAGUAUGGCCCCUGCACAAGGGUGUCACAUAAUUUAUGAAAUGUUCCAUAUUUUU